GUCUGGGGAGAACUACCUGGUGAAAUUGCUAAGCAGUGAAGCCUCAGAACACGGUAUUGCGGCUAGAGGCAGAGGCGACAGUAGAGACAGGGGUGAGCAGCAGCAGCAAAGCGGUGGCAGAGGCUACAGAGGUCAGCCACAGAGGCAUUGAUCAGUCCCCCCUUUCAGGGGUGGGAAUGAGCCACGUGGACACCCCCCCAAAUUCUAGGACUUUGCUGACUUCGGACAACCAACUGUGAGUGGGGUGCAGCAGAGGGAAAGGGGAGUUGUGUUUUAAAGGGACAUUCAUCCAUCAGACUUCCACACCACAAGCUGGGAAACUGGGGCAACUGACACGGCCCAAGAUAUUGUGGAACAGGCGUUUACUUACAGUUUGCAUACUUUUGAAUCAUUGUUGCAGUGUUUUCCCAAAGAAAUGCUGAGUGCCCUCUCCCUUUUAUUGAAAGUUUUCGUUUGUUAUACACAGACUCAGUGCUUGUGAGUGAGGUGCAUGUUGCCUCUUAGAGGUGCCUGGGGCGGUGUUCAGUUUUCCCAGAUUACUGGGUGGGGGCUUGAGCUGGUUCUCUUUUGCAGUGUUAAGAGGAAUCCCUAGAUAUUGAAAGUGGCCCUUGUUUCUGCCUACACCACCUGGCAGAAGUAUAUCUGUACCCUUUCAAUAUCUAGGGAUUCCUCUUAACACUGCAAAAGAGAACCAGCUCAAGCCCCCACCCAGUAAUCUGGGAAAACUAAACACCACCCCAGGCACCUCUAAGAGGCAACAUGCACCCCGUGUGUGCGUGUAUAUAAUAUAUAUCUAAAAAAGGGACUUAAACUUAAGUGCAAAGGGUGUCCCACCUUCAGGUUUAUUGCAGAGUUUGCGUGUGUGUGUCUCUCUCUCUGCUCCAAAAGCGUUUGAUGUAUAUCGCUGGGACAUAAACAUAUGUACAAAGUGUCCAAAGCGGCCUUGCUACUUGGCCGCUAAAUAUGUUGUUUCAUGCAUGGCAGACAAAAUCUGUGCAUCCAAACAAACACUUUUAUACAUGAAUUGGAUAGAACUACGUGAUUGGUAUGAGCAAAGAUCCUCUGCACAUCACGUGUGUUUUUCAUGUACAAAUACUUGCAUGCAAAUAUAUUGUAACCUUAAGGCCUUUUUUUUUUUUAAAUGGCCAUCUUCUUCUGAGAGCUUUGCCUGAAUACGGCUUGGGCUGUAUAGUACAUGUCGUGCUCUGCUGAACAGCAGUUCUCCUGGAGUGAAAUGUGCUGCUGAACAGUGGACAGCAAUACUGCGCGAUGCUUUAGGACAAGAACUGAAGAUGCUCACAAGCCUCCUGGACCGGUGGCCAGGACCCGGGCAGUUUGAGUGCCACUGAAAAUCAGCUUGCGUGCUGCCUUCGGCACGUGUGCCAUAGCUUGCCCACCCCUGCCUUAAAGCAUGUGCAUACUGCUCUUGAUGCCAGUGGGACUGCUCACAUGCGGAAAGCGAAGCAUCUGCAUAAAUGUUUGCAGGGUGAGAACUUGUUUUGAAACCUACUGGAGAAAACAAAAUCAGAUGACGACAAUUUUUUCGCACUUCUGGUCAACAGACGGGUGCCAUAAUGAUUAACAGCUAGCAAAAUCUCUUUUGUGCAUCAUCCUGUUAACCACAAAUUCUUUCCCCUUAUUGGCCACCUGCUUUUGCUAAACAUCCGCAUCAUUUUUUCACUAAUUGCUCUGCCCACAAAAUACAUGUUCCCAGACCUCUUUUUUUUUUUUUUUGCUGGAAACAGUUUGGUUUCCAACUAUAUGCUACUUACUCGAAUUAAGUGGCGUCAUUUCAGAAAAAAAAAAUUUGGGGGAGUGGGGGGAGAUUGUAUCAGCAAAUAGAACAUUAUAUGUGAUUAUGUUCUAUCCUGCAAGGUUGGAGGGGUGGGGAAGGAGCAUAUAGACCUAUGAAAAGUUGGGUGGGGAGCAAACCAAGGCUAGUAUGUAUGUGUGUGUGGGGGGGGGCAACAGCCCCCUUUGCCCAAGAUCAGAUAAUGCCCCUGCUCUAAUGUUCACUGUAAAGGAUCUUAAAGUACCAAAAUACUUUACAUACAAACGCUCCCCAUCGUAUUGCUUUGUGCUGUAGAAACCUGCACGUUUGCCCUUCCUGCCUCUUGCUCACUUAAACUGCAACUUUACGGUGACUUUAAUAGUAUAGGGCUUUUUGCGUCUAGACUGAGACUUCAAAGCAGCCUAAGGGAGUUAAGUACCCAAUUCCUAUUGAAUUUCAGUGGGAUUCGAGUGCUUAAAUGUCAGGGUCAGAUGAAAUCUCCUAAUUUUUUAAAAGGAAACCAUAUAAAAUGAAACAUGAACCUGUAUUUCAUUGUUGUAUUUUGGAAUAAAACUUCUUCUUCGAGUGCUUGCUCACGUUCACUCCAAUCAGGUGUCUGCGCGCGCACGGGCACGGUAGCCGGAAGAUUUUCCCCCUAGCAGCAUCCGUGGGGAAAAAUCUUCCAGCUACUGUGCCCGUGCAUGGACACACCUGAUUGGAGUGGACGUGAACAACACAUCUUGAAGAACAACACUUACCGAGAAGGUGAGUAACCAUUUUUUUCAACAGAUCAUGCUUAAAAACGUCCCAGGGUUGAUAGAUAGAGCAGUAGCAUCCGAUGAAGUGAGCUGUAGCUCACGAAAGCUCAUGCUCAAAUAAAUUGGUUAGUCUCUAAGGUGCCACAAGUCCUCCUGUUCUUUUUGCGAAUACAGACUAACACGGCUGUUACUCUGAAACCAGAGCAGUAGCAGGUUCUGUGGUCAGAGUUAGACGUGGAGGCUUCUACCACAGCAGCCUGUUCAGUAGUUGUUGCUGAAUCCCCCCCCCCCCCCCCCCAAUUCAUGAGAACAAAUUCACGCACGUUUUAUAAACAACGAAGAACAAAUUUAGGAGAUUUUCAUCUGAGCCUGAGAUUUAAGCGCUCGAAUCCCACUGAAAUUCAGUAGGAAUAAUUGGGUACUUAACGCAUCUCAUUCAGACUCCUUUACACCUUCUUUGAGGUAUUUCAAUUACUCUCCUUCUAACAACGUUUUUUGUCAUCCUCCAUAACGGUUUCACUUUUCCGGAGGACGCAGAGUAAGAGGUCUCUUUACAAAAUGCAUCUGAAAUAAAGAGCACGUGGUGACACCAGCAGAAUCAUUACGUUUAGUGAUCACGCAGGAAAAGAGCACGAAGUGAGUCAAUGAUCAGGCAGGAUUUGGUCAUUGCUGAGGCUUUUGUGGUAUAGAUUUCUCCAGUGGAGCUGACCCAAACACCAGCCUAGAACACAGGCCUGAGGUCAGAGUCUGAGGCUGUUUAUUAAAUAAAGUAGUUUGUUCUUCGCAUAUCGGCCUAUGGACACACAACAAAUUACAUUGGUGCAAUGCAGUAGAGUACCUCAGUGUAAGGGUAGCUAGCUCAGAGCACUUCAGUCCCACUCUCCUUGUGCCUGGCAGCACUCAGGAAUAACAUGACUUCUGUCUUAUAAAAGAAUGAUACUUGCCCCUUCCCUUUCUGUUACUGAUGGACAACAAUCCCAUCGGCAGAAUCAGAAUGUGCUUUAAAAAAGCCUCUUUGUGAGUGAAGUUUGAAAAACUGUUUCAUUUCUGUUCCUCAUCCCCCUUCCCGCUUCCAUUUUAAGCCCCCUAUGCACCUUCUGUGCUGUCUCCUCUCCUUUCUCACCUGUCCCUUGUUCUCCUGCCCUCUUCUCGGUGUAAACAUGUGUAAAUGUCGAAGUGUAAAAGUGCAGGAGGGAGGGAGCAGAGCAGCUAACAGAAUGUUUUUUUAAAGGCAUCAGGGCUGGCGACGCUGUCACGCUCCAUCGGCGCAGCUGGAUGAUACAGCUGCCCCGGUGCAGCACGUCUGGUGAAGACACGCUAUGCUGACGGGAGAGGGCUCUCCCUUCGGCAUAAUGACUCCACUCACUGAGAGGUGUGCGCGUUGCUGGUGGGAGAGCGUUUCCUGCCCACAUAGCCUGGUGUGGACACCGCUUUAUGUUGAUGUAACUGAUGUCGCUUGGGGGGUGGUUUUUUCACACUGAGCGACGUAACUGACAUCGACUUAAGGAGUAGUGUAGACAAGCCCUUUAUGUUCGUAUAAUAUUUUAAACAUUUAAAAAAGAGAUGAGAGCAGUGGUCCCAUCUUUAUAUUCGCCAAUCCACUUUUAAACAACCUUAACGCUAGAGCAGGGUGAAAUUCUUUGGCCAAAUCUAUUUUUCAAUUAAAAACGCAGAUUCAGGGUGAGUGAAACAUUUUGUGAAUUCACGUCUAAUUCACUAAAUUGUUUUGAUCAAAGACAAACCUAAAAAAGUUCCCCCCAAAAUGGAACAAUGGAAAUGGAAAUCUUUUAAAGA